rnacentral:rRNA from 1 species
CAGUAGCCGCGGUAAUACGUAGGUGGCAAGCGUUAUCCGGAAUUAUUGGGCGUAAAGCGCGCGUAGGCGGUUUUUUAAGUCUGAUGUGAAAGCCCACGGCUCAACCCGGGAAGUGCAUUUGAAACUGGCUAUCUUGAGUGCAGUAGAGGAAGGUGGAAUUCCAAGUGUAGUGGUGAAAUAUGUAGAUAUUUGGAGGAACAUCGGUGGCGAAGGCGACCUUCUGGACUGUUACUGACGCUGAGAUCCGAAAGCGUGGGGAUCAAACAGGAUUAGAUACCCGGGUAGUCCCUGUCUCUUAUAC